GCCUUCGUGGUGUAGUGGUCAGCACGCUCGACGUGUAACCGAGAGGUCCGUGGUUCGAUUCCCGCCGAGGGCA
rnacentral:tRNA from 1 species